rnacentral:ncRNA from 1 species
AAUCUGGUACGGUCGUACCAGAAAGUACGCGCGACGGCGGACCUGUCACCCGGCGCGUGCUC